rnacentral:rRNA from 1 species
CCGACUGCUAUCGAAAUGGGACUAAGCCAUGUUAGUCGAACGUCUUUUAACUAUGUGAAGGGCGUGGCGUACGGCUCAGUAACACGUUGUCAAUCCACCCUGAAGACGUGGAUAACCCCGGGAAACUGGGAUUAAACCACGAUAGAUCAAGAUUUCUGGAAUGGAUUUUGAUUCAAAGGAAGGAUGAGCAUGUUCAUCUAUUUGCCUCAGGAUGGGACUGCGACCGAUCAGGUUGUUGGUGGAGUAAUAGCCCACCAAGCCAGUAACCGGUACGGGCUUUGAGAGAAGGAGCCCGGAGAUGGACACUGAGAAAAGAGUCCAGGCCCUACGGGGCGCAGCAGGCGCGAAACCUUCGCAAUGCACGAAAGUGCGACGAGGUUAUUUCGAGUGCUAUCCGCUGAGGAUAGCUUUUGUCAGGUGUAAAUAGCCUGGAGAAUAAGGGGAGGGCAAGUCUGGUGUCAGCCGCCGCGGUAAUACCAGCUCCCCGAGUGGUCGGGACGAUUAUUGGGCCUAAAGCAUCCGUAGCCUGCUUUGCAGGUCUUCUGUUAAAUUCAACGGCUUAACCGUUGAGCUGCAGGAGAUACCACAAGGCUAGGAGGCGGAAGAGGUAGACGGUACUCCAUGGGUAGGGGUAAAAUCCUCUGAUCCAUGGAAGACCACCAGUGGCGAAGGCGGUCUACCAGAACGCGCUCGACGGUGAGGGAUGAAAGCUGGGGGAGCGAACCGGAUUAGAUACCCGGGUAGUCCCAGCUGUAAACGAUGCUAGCUAGGUGACGGAGUGGUUUCGUACCAUUCCGGUGCCGCAGGGAAGCCGUUAAGCUAGCCGCCUGGGGAGUACGGUCGCAAGACUGAAACUUAAAGGAAUUGGCGGGGGAGCACCACAAGGGGUGAAGCCUGCGGUUCAAUUGGAGUCAACGCCGGG